GGAGAGAGGAGGGCCACCAACAGCCCAGCUGGAAGCGGGCAGCCGCCCUCAGCCUCGAGGCCACCUCUGGCGAGGCAGAGUCUUCACCCCUGAGCCACCUGGGAAGCCCCACACAAGGAACCCCUACCUGCAAAGACAGCCUGCUCCAGGGAAGCCCCAGGACCACACUGCCUCUCUGCCCCAGGACAGAUCUCUCUCCACCUUCGAAAGCAAGGGCCCUACAUUUUCCAGACCCAGGGGCAACACGAACAUCCCUUAGUCCAACAGAGAUGACGGGCCGUAGAUACCUGGAGACCGGGGGGCUGGGUUCUCUACCCUCGGGAACUAUGUGAUGGAGCACCAGGAUGUGCCUUUUUUUAAAAUGUUUCUAUUGGAUAAACAUAAGCUAAUUGCUAAAACCCUUUAAUACUAUUUGUGCUGGAGAGCUUGG
ensembl:lncRNA